CAGCAGCCGCGGGAAUACGUAGGGUGCGAGCGUUAAUCGGAAUUACUGGGCGUAAAGCGUGCGCAGGCGGCUUUGCAAGACAGAUGUGAAAUCCCCGGGCUCAACCUGGGAACUGCAUUUGUGACUGCAAGGCUAGAGUACGGUAGAGGGGGAUGGAAUUCCGCGUGUAGCAGUGAAAUGCGUAGAUAUGCGGAGGAACACCAAUGGCGAAGGCAAUCCCCUGGACCUGUACUGACGCUCAUGCACGAAAGCGUGGGGAGCAAACAGGAUUAGAUACCCGCGUAGUCCCUGUCUCUUAUAC
rnacentral:rRNA from 1 species